ACGAUUUUCGGCAAUGGAUUUUUAGGUUCUUGCAUCGAUGACAGUUGAAGCGAAAUACAAUACUUGUUUUGAAUUGCAGAUUCCGGUGAUCCAUUGAGUGUUUGAACCCAAGAACGCCAUAUUCUUUUAGACGAAGGGCAGAUUGUCUUGGGAUUCACA
rnacentral:rRNA from 1 species